AUCAAACAUUCUGAAUAAAAACUUAAACUAGUUAAAACUUUCAACAACGGAUCUCUUGGUUCUGGCAUCGAUGAAGAACGCAGCGAAAUGCGAUAAGUAAUGUGAAUUGCAGAAUUCAGUGAAUCAUCGAAUCUUUGAACGCACAUUGCGCCCAUUAGUAUUCUAGUGGGCAUGCCUGUUCGAGCGUCAUUUCAACCCUUAAGCCUCUGUUGCUUAGCGUUGGGAGCCUACAGCCUGCUGUAGCUCCUUAAAGGUAGUGGCGGAGUCGGUUCACACUCUAGACGUAGUAAAAUCUUUAUCUCGCCUAUAGAUGAGCCGGCGCCUUGCCGUAAAACCCCUAAUCUUUCACAAGGUUGACCUCGGAUCAGGUAGGAAUACCCGCUGAACUUAAGCAUAUCAAUAAGCGGAGGAAAAGAAACCAACAGGGAUUGCCCUAGUAACGGCGAGUGAAGCGGCAACAGCUCAAAUUUGAAAUCUGGCCUUCGGGUCCGAGUUGUAAUUUGCAGAGGAUGCUUUGGGCGCGGUGCCUUCCGAGUUCCCUGGAACGGGACGCCUUAGAGGGUGAGAGCCCCGUACGGUUGGACACCAAGCCUCUGUAAAGCUCCUUCGACGAGUCGAGUAGUUUGGGAAUGCUGCUCUAAAUGGGAGGUAAAUUUCUUCUAAAGCUAAAUAUUGGCCAGAGACCGAUAGCGCACAAGUAGAGUGAUCGAAAGAUGAAAAGCACUUUGAAAAGAGGGUUAAAUAGCACGUGAAAUUGUUGAAAGGGAAGCGUUUGCGACCAGACCUUUUCCCAGCGGAUCAUCCGGUGUUCUCACCGGUGCACUUCGCUGGGUUGAGGCCAGCAUCGGUUUCCGCAGGGGGAUAAAAGCCUGGGGAACGUAGCUCCCUCGGGAGUGUUAUAGCCCCUCGCAUAAUACCCUUGCGGGGACCGAGGACCGCGCU
rnacentral:rRNA from 1 species